rnacentral:rRNA from 1 species
UACAGAGGGUGCGAGCGUUAAUCGGAAUUACUGGGCGUAAAGCGUGCGUAGACGGUUAUUUAAGUCGGAUGUGAAAGCCCCGGGCUCAACCUGGGAAUUGCAUUCGAGACUGAAUAGCUAGGGUGCGGUAGAGGGAAGCGGAAUUCCCGGUGUAGCGGUGGAAAUGCGCAGAUAUCGGGAGGAACACCGGUGGCGAAGGCGGGUCUCUGGGCAGUAACUGACGCUGAGGAGCGAAAGCGUGGGUAGCGAACAGG